GAUGAACGCUGGCGGCGUGCCUAAUACAUGCAAGUCGAGCGAACGGACGAGAAGCUUGCUUCUCUGAUGUUAGCGGCGGACGGGUGAGUAACACGUGGAUAACCUACCUAUAAGACUGGGAUCACUUCGGGACACCGGCUCUAACACCGUAUAAUAUUUUGAACCGCAGGGUUCAAAAGUGAAAGACGGUCUUGCUGUCACUUAUAGAUGGAUCCGCGCUGCAUUAGCUAGUUGGUACGGUAACGGCUUACCAAGGCAACGAGGCAUAGCCACCAUGAGAGGGUGAUCGGCUACCCGGGAAGUGAGCCACGGCCCACACUCCUACGGGAGGCCACAGUACGGAAUCUUCCGGAAUGGAGCAGAGCCUAACGGUGCACAGCGGCGUGAGUGAUGAAGGUCUUCGGAUCGUAGAACUAUGUUAUUAGGGAAGAACAUAUGUGUAAGUGACUGUGAACAUCUUGACGGUACCUAAUAAGAAAGCCACGGCUAACUACGUG
rnacentral:rRNA from 1 species